CCUACGGGAGGCAGCAGUGGGGGAUAUUGCACAAUGGGGGGAACCCUGAUGCAGCGACGCCGCGUGGGUGAAGAAGCGCCUCGGCGCGUAAAGCCCUGUCAGCAGGGAAGAAAAUGACGGUACCUGAAGAAGAAGCCCCGGCUAACUACGUGCCAGCAGCCGCGGUAAUACGUAGGGGGCAAGCGUUAUCCGGAUUUACUGGGUGUAAAGGGGGCGCAGACGGCGAUGCAAGCCAGGAGUGAAAGCCCGGGGGCCAACCCCGGGACUGCUCUGGGAACUGCGUGGCUGGAGUGCAGGAGGGGCAGGCGGAAUUCCUGGUGUAGCGGUGAAAUGCGUAGAUAUCAGGAGGAACACCGGUGGCGAAGGCGGCCUGCUGGACUGCAACUGACGUUGAGGCCCGAAAGCGUGGGGAGCAAACAGGAUUAGAUACCCUUGUAGUC
rnacentral:rRNA from 1 species